AUCGCGCCUGUCAGGGGUUCAGGAGCAGAGGCACAGGAAAGGGAGGAAAUAGAGAGCGAGGGGGAGGAGUCCGAAGGAAAUGUUAGCGAUGACAGCGGUCCGAGGUCUCUGAGUCUUUCCAGCGAAUCGGAAGAUUCACAGAAAGGGGCUCCCUUGGUCAGAGCAAGGGGGUGCCGAGGGGACACCCCAGGAAGAAGGGGCCAGAGGGGACUCAGAGAGCAGCAGUUGGAAAUCAGGACCAGCGUCCACACCAGAGUGCAGAAGGGGGGAGGAGUCCCAGGCAUCGGGAUCAGGCGGCGCACUGCCAGUGGGAGGACAUGAGUCAGGAUUGGCCACGCCUCCAUCGGGGAGCGAGGAAACGGUCGAGAGGAAGGUUGAAGGCUGGGCGCGCGCGCAAAGUUCAAAUGUACAGGAGGGCGGCGCAGUUGGCAGCCCGGAUAGGGAGCCAGGUCCCAAAGCCCGCCGAAAAGAGGGGGAGGAGUCAGGGGGUCAGCGUCAGAAGAAUCCAGGAAGGAAGGGACCCCGGGGGGUAGCAGGACCCAGAGGAGAAAGGAGAGACGUAAGAGGUGGAGUAAGGCUAGAAUCUUAAACUGGUGUACAGGGGCGGAGACUCAGAUGGAGCUUCGCCGAUCUAACCCCUAGACGUAGAGCUGGGGCGCUCCGGCUUGAAAAUGGAAACUGUACUUCAAUAAAGACUUUUGUACAUUACUGCCGGCUAGCGUUGGUCCUCUGUGAGCUGGGACCUGGAGCCAGCUCUGACAGUAAGCUCCAUCUCCAAAAGUUUUGCACCAAAAACCUCGUAACGUGAGUGGACGCAGCGAGGGAAGAAGAUUGGUGCUUCGCGAGCUCACAAAAGUCAGGCAAGAUGACUACAGAACAGCAACUAGCAGCCCUGCAAAAUGCAGUGACACAACUCAACGCGGAGGUACUCGCAUCCAGGAAAAGGGAAGAGGAAGCGGCUGCCGCCUGCAGGGAUCUCCAAGCCAGGUUGGAAGUGCUUGCUAAGCAGGGGCAACCGGGACCCAAAUCAGAGGGGAUUGGGCUGGGGAAAAGAGGAGGCAGCCUGGUAUCUCAUUUCGAUGGGAAUUUGCAGCAGUACCCUAACUUCCGAGCAGACGUGCUGUUUGCGCUGGAACUGCUGGAUAAAGACUUUAGAGAUGAGCAAGAGAAGGUGGGGUUUAUCUUGUCCCAUUUGCAUGGGGAAGCUAAAGCGUGGCUGCGCAAUCUGUGGAGAGAUAAGGAUCCGGCGCUCCAAAAUGCGGAUGCAUUUAUUAAAGCGAUGGAUUCGUGUUUUUUAUCAAAUAUAGACAUUGAUAUCGCCAGAAAAGACAUACAUGGGCUCAAACAAGGCAGAGCCAGUGUAAGGCAGUACCAUUCCCGCUUUUUUGCAUUAGUCCAUGCGCUGGGAUGGGAGAAGGAUUCUGCCCCAGCCAGAGACCUUUUUUGGGAAGGCUUGAAUGCAAAUGUGAAAGAUGAGAUUGCAAGGGGGGAGAGACCAAAGAGCACUCAGGAGGUUGUCCGGCGGGCGCUGCAAAUUGGGGUGCGUCUGGAAGAACGUCCAUGGAACAGAGAAGAAGGACGUUGGGGACGUACGCCAGUGAGAGCACCUCCCCUCUUUCCCAAGGAUACAGCGCGUGUGCAAUCCCCACCUCCGCAAGGGGGGGAGAGCAACCGAUGGAGAUUGGAGGCGCCAGGGCUCAGUCAGCUACCAGAGCCUUAACACCGGGAGCAGUCAAAGCGAAGCCUCCUAGAGGGAACAGGAAGUGCUACAUCUGCGACAGUGCUCAGCACAUGGCGAAAGAGUGUCCCCAGAGGCUCCACAAGCACACUGCAGCCUCAGCAACAGUAACAGAAGCAACUCAGCAGAGAGAACCACAGCAGGGAAACGACAGAGUCUGGUUGGAGGAAGAGGCACUGGGGCCCAACCAGACAAGUCAAUGAAGCCGUCCCCAGAGAUUUUGCAGCCCACAGACCCCCUCCCGCCCAAACCAGUGGUGCAGCUCACAGCAUCGCUCCAACUACCCAAUGGACUCACUAUGGAAGUGCCGAUUACCAUUGACUCUGGUAGUAACGCAGACUUCAUAGGACUGGAUUUCCUUCAAGAGCACAACAUAGCACUCCUGCCAGCCACGCUGCCUCUGAAAGUUGUCACGGUGGAUGGCAGGGAAUUGCUGGGGGCAGGUGGUGCAGCAAACGCCUCCGAUGGUGAUGCAAAUUGGGAAUCACCGAGAAGUCAUCAGCUUCAAUGUCACCCAACUGUCGGACACGCCUAUAGUAUUAGGCAUGAGUUGGCUGCACAGGCACAGCCCAGCAUUGGCGUGGUACCAGCGACAACUGACCUUCGGCUCCUCAUACUGUGCGGAACAUUGCAUUCUGCCUAGCCCGGAAGGGGAAGAGGAUGACCCGCAGCUACAAUUAGGCACGCUGCAAGCAGUGCCACUCAAGUACGCAGCGUUUUUGGAGGUUUUCUGCGAGAAGGAAGCGGACAAGCUACCUCCCCACAGGUCUUAUGACUGCAAGAUUGACCUCCUGCCAGGGGCGACGCUGCCAACCGGGAAACUGUAUUCCAUGUCUGAAGACGAGCUGCAGGAACUCAGGGAGUUCAUAGACCUCAACUUGAAGCGCGGUUUCAUCCGGGAGUCGAAGGCAGUGGGGGGCAGUCCUGUAUUCUUUGUGAAGAAGAAGGACACGCCCCAAAAACGGCUUGUGGUGGACUAUAGAAUUUUGAACUCGAAAACCAAGCCCACAGCCUUUCCCAUGCCCAAGAUAGAUGACCUGCUCGCAACGGUGAGGAAAGGACGCGUUUUCACAAAGUUGGAUCUGCGAGGGGCGUACAACCUGAUUCGCAUACGGGAGGGCGACGAAUGGAAGACUGCCAUGUUCACGCCCCUGGGCACCUAUGAAUACAGAGUUAUGCCCUUUGGAUUACAAAAUGGCUCCCACUGUUUUCAAGCCUUCAUGCAUCACGUAUUGGCGGGUCUCCUCUACAAGAAAUGCGUCUGCUUCCUGGACGACAUCCUGAUAUUUUCAGAAUCAGAGGAGACCCACGAGGGAGACGUCAAGGAAGUUCUGCAGAGACUGCAGGAGCACAGGCUGUACGCCAAGCUGGAGAAGUGCCAGUUCGACAUGAAGGAGGUAGAUUUCCUGGGCUACAAGUUGUCGGACAAGGGGCUCGCCAUGGACAGCGCCAAGGUUCGCUCAGUGUUGGACUGGAAGAGCCCGCGCAAUCGGAAGGAGGUCCAGCGGUUUGUCGGUUUCGCCAACUUUUACCGCAAGUUCAUCAAGGGGUUCGCGAUGCAGACGGCGGCCAUUACCGACACGCUCAGCUCCAAGAAGAAGAAGUUCAUCUGGACGGAGCAAGCGGAGCAGUCCUUUCAGAAACUCAAGCGUCUCUUCUCGUCCGAAGAGCAGCUACUGCAUGUGAAUCCCAGCAGACCGAUGAGGGUUGAAACGGACGCCUCAGACAGAGCCGUGGGAGCAGUACUGUUGCAGCAAGACCCGCAUGGGGACUGGAGACCGUGUGCCUUCUACUCCAGGAAGCUCAGCAAGUCAGAGCAGAACUACACCAUCUGGGACAGGGAGUUGCUGGCCAUUCAUGCAGCAUUCAAGGCGUGGCGGCACUUCCUCAUUGGAGCCAAACACACAGUGCAGGUCCGCACGGACCAUAAAAACCUGGAGUACUGGCGCACGGCAAGGUUCCUGGAACCAGAGGCACAUACGAUGGGCGGAGUUCUUUGCGGAUUUCGACUUCAGGAUAGAGUACAUCCCAGGCGACAACAACAUCAUGGCGGAUGCACUGUCCAGAAAGCCGCAAUACCUCGAGGAGGCGGCACCCGCAGCGGCCAAGCACAUUUUCGCACCGAAAGCGUGGGCGUGCGCUUCAGCAACCGUGGACCUGGAUGCUGUACGUCGAGCACUGCAGGAGGACCCCUUCGCGCAAGCAAAGAUGGCAGAGGUGCAAAGGGGCACGGCGGAGGACGACGAGUUCCAGAUACGCGACGGAUUGCUCAUCCGCAGAGGGGCCCUCUACGUACCGGGAGACGACCUCCGCGCGAAAGUACUGCAGCAGUUGCACGACGCACCCACCGCCGGGCACUUUGGCAAAGAGAAGACGGUAGAAUUAGUAGCCAGAGAUUUUUGGUGGCCCAAGAUGCGGGGGAAGUCGCGGAUUACGUCUCGAGGUGCGACACCUGCCAAAGGGCCAAGUCAGUGCACAAACCGCCGGCGGGACUGCUCGAACCGCUGCAGACACCGAUCGAACCGUGGGAGAGGGUGGCCCUGGACUUUGUCACGGAUCUACCCAGCUCGAGGGGCAAGACGGCAGUGCUAGUGGUGGUGGACAUGUUCACCAAAAUGGCCCACUUCAUUCCGUGCGCGAAGGUGGCCACGGCGGAACAGACCGCCAAACUGUUCAUAGACCACGUGUUCAGGGUUCACGGUCUGCCACGGUCUAUCCUGUCCGACCGGGGCGACAGUUCAUCUCGAACUUCUGGCAGAAGCUGAUGGGUUUCCUGAACGUCAAGAUCAACCUAGCGUCGGCGAGACACCCGCAGACGAACGGACAAGCGGAGCGAGUCAACGCCAUCAUGCAGCAGUACCUGCGAUGCUACGCAAAUCAGCAGCCGGCAACAUGGGUGGACUACCUGCCGCUCGCUGAGUUCGCCUACAACAACACGAAGCACGUGUCCACGGGGGUGACACCGUUCUUCGCCAACAACGGGAGGCAUCCCAGAACCUUCCCGGGAUUAGCGAGAGCAGGGGAGGGGAGCCACAGGCAGCGGAAGCCUUAGCAUCAGAGUUGCAGGAGGUUCACGAACAGCUUCGGAGGCAGUUAGAACUAGCAAAGCACGCAUACAAACUGCAGGCUGACAAGCACAGAAGGGUUGGGGAAGACAUACAGGUGGGAGACUGGGUUUGGUUAGCAGCCCAGGCAGUGCCGGCCAGAUCGUUAGCGAAGAAGAAGCUAGGGCAUAAGCAGCUAGGACCCUACCAAGUCGAGGCACAGGUCAAUCCAGUGGCCUUCCGGUUGACACUGCCGGAGGGAUCCAGAAUGCACCCAGUUUUCCAUAGAUCAGUGCUCACGCCCUACAAAGCACCUCAUAGAUUUCAGGAGCCAGGAACGGCACCAGACCCGUUCAGGGAAACGCCCACAAGGGGGGGGUCGCCAAGGCGGGAACCCGUCAACGAAGUCACAGAGAUUUUAGACUCGAGAUGGGGGGAGGAGGGAGUGGAAUACCUCCUCGCCAAGGAAGGUACCCCGGCUAGCGCCAACAGUUGGGUGCCAGAUUAUGCUCUGGAGGAAUCUUGGCUCAAGGACGAGUUCCAUGCACUUUUCCCACACAGGCCCAUGCCAGCCGAGUAUUUCGACGACUGGCUUUUCACACCUGUCAGAGCUGGCUCCAGGUCCCAGCUCACAGAGGACCAACGCUAGCCGGCAGUAAUGUGCAAAAGUCUUUAUUGAAGUACAAUUUCCAUUUUCAAGCCGGAGCGCCCCAGCUCUACGUCUAGGGGUUAGAUCGGCGAAGCUCCAUCUGAGUCUCCGCCCCCCUGUACACCAGUUUAAGAUUCUAGCCUUACUCCACCUCUUACGUCUCUCCUUUCUCCUCUGGGUCCUGCUACCCCCCGGGGUCCCUUCCUUCCUGGAUUCUUCUGACGCUGACCCUCCUGACUCCUCCCCCUCUUUCGGCGGGCUUUGGGACCUGGCUCCCUAUCCGGGCUGCCAACUGCGCCGCCCUCCUGUACAUUUGAACUUUGCGCGCGCGCCCAGCCUUCAACCUUCCUCUCGACCGUUUCCUCGCUCCCCGAUGGAGGCGUGGCCAAUCCUGACUCAUGUCCUCCCACUGGCAGUGCGCCGCCUGAUCCCGAUGCCUGGGACUCCUCCCCUACUGCACUCUGGUGUGGACGCUGGUCCUGAUUUCCAACUGCUGCUCUCUGAGUCCCCUCUGGCCCCUUCUUCCUGGGGUGUCCCCUCGGCACCCCCUUGCUCUGACCAAGGGAGCCCCUUUCUGUGAAUCUUCCGAUUCGCUGGAAAGACUCAGAGACCUCGGACCGCUGUCAUCGCUAACAUUUCCUUCGGACUCCUCCCCCUCGCUCUCUAUUUCCUCCCUUUCCUGUGCCUCUGCUCCUGAACCCCUGACAACACCCACAUUUUCAGCUAGCACAUUCCAGGGGUUCACCUCGGACGAGGAACCGGCACUAGAAGCACGUUCCCCGGAGGGAUCACCCUCGGGGUCUGCCUCAGACCGUUCCUAUUGGUGGGACAAUCACCCCCAGGAGCAGUGGCGCAGGAAGUGGGGGGGCCUUGGCAGGCAACGUCCCCGGACGACACCGGGGGAGAGACGGACAUGGACGUGUUGGGGAGGACCUUGGCCUCGAGCACGGCGGCACAGACAUGCAACCAGACGAACUUGAGGCCGGCGACAGCACGGAGGACGAGCCGGACUGAUCCGGCUGGAUGCCCGCCCCCGGGGACGCACUGUAUCCGGCACUCCCCCCCACAACGACGGAGCACCCAGUACCCACACCUGAAGGAGGGAGGGGGAAGGGGGCUUCAAGGGGGGAUGGAUGUCAGGGGUUCAGGAGCAGAGGCACAGGAAAGGGAGGAAAUAGAGAGCGAGGGGGAGGAGUCCGAAGGAAAUGUGAGCGAUGACAGCGGUCCGAGGUCUCUGAGUCUUUCCAGCGAAUCGGAAGAUUCACAGAAAGGGGCUCCCUUGGUCAGAGCAAGGGGGGUGCCGAGGGGGACACCCCAGGAAGAAGGGGCCAGAGGGGACUCAGAGAGCAGCAGUUGGAAAUCAGGACCAGCGUCCACACCAGAGUGCAGAAGGGGGGAGGAGUCCCAGGCAUCGGGAUCAGGCGGCGCACUGCCAGUGGGAGGA